UGGCUAAACACUCUAUGGAUUUUGAUCACUGACCUUCAUCAGAAUAUGUGCUCUCCAGUCUUGUUGAUAAGAACAAUCUACAUACACAUUGUAUCAGGCUAAAAGUUGCUUUUGUGGGUCUCAUUUCAUUCUCACUGGUUCAUCUUCAUCCUUAAGCAGACAAGUUUUUAAAUAUUUUUCAAAUAUUUGCCCAUCAAUUUAAACAACAACAACAAAACACAGGUAAUUCUGCUGUCCUGCUGCAGCCGAGGCGUCACUUCCAUAUCACUUUCAUUUAAAAUCCACUCUGUGGCCUCAAGUGAGCUACCACCUUUAAGACCAGUUCAUACUACAAACAGAAUGAUGGAGAGAUGUGAGACACCAUGCACAUUUAAUCAGGCAGACAGAGUGCUUGGAUCUUCUCCUUUGCCCUCAGUGCUACACCAUCUGGGCUUGCUCAUCAGAGCCUCACCCCUGUGCCGAGAGAAUGAUAAUUGGUAUCAUAUGCUUGUGACAUGAUGAAAUAUUAUCAUAACUGCUGAGCUAUUAUCCAUGGUGUCAGAAGCAGGACACUAAUAAUCAGCUACAUCUCAAACUUGAUAUAUCUACAACAGCAAAAUGAUGACAAUAAUAAUAACUCUAAAUUGAAUUGUGAAAUAACUUUUAAAGCCAGGCCUGAAACUCCACCUCAAUAAUCUAUUCCCAGUUUCUCAUUUUUGUUCCAAGUGACAAAGCUUUUGUACCCACAAAUGACUUUUUAACAUAUAUCUCUUCAUUGCUUGGCAAUUGUGCCUUUCAGAAGUAGAAACUUCUUAAAACACAAGUUCUCAGAGCUUCCAACUUCACUUCUCACACCUUUAUCAGUUGUAUGUAAAGGUUGCAUUUACAAAAUUCCAGGUAUCUAGCUUCUCAGCUUCCAGCAGUGUUCCUUAGUAUCUGAAGCCAAUGCCAGUCCAAUGCUAACACCAGUCUAGUGGUCACAUCCUCCACAGACCCAUCCUCUCCUAAAUCUCCAAUUCACUUCCUGAUUCCUCAGUAUAUCAACACAACCAGGUCAUUAAUUCAUCGUGAAGCUUGACACAGGACAUUGCAGAGUUGUGUGUGUUUUCCUCAUAGUCAUCUAUGCUGAGUUUUACUCUUUUAUAUUGUCCUUAGGCUUGAUUGAACCAUGAUUACUCAUGGCUACUUUUUAUUAAUAAGCACUUCUGCUUAUAAGUUCUCACACUGACUCUGAUUCGACCAUUAAAGAUUGAUUUAGUGUUAGCAUACUGAAAAUAAUAAUACUCAGGUAAAGCAUUUUCUUUUCAAAAGAAUGAGGGCAGCCAAUAGUUUCCUAUAAUAUACAGCAUACAGCAACCAAUAUUAAAAAAGCUACCUUUGCAUGCAUGUGUGUGUGUGGGUGUGUGUGUUUUCAGUGAUUUUGUUUGUAAGACGGAUGCAUUAACUUAAAAGUAAGCUACAAAGAUAUAAACUCAGACUAUUAUAUAGGCUAUUACUGAAGCCUAUUUUGUAUUUCCCCAGACAAAAUUCAAUCCUUGUUGUUUUUGUUCCACUUUAUUUACAAAUCAUUUACUGAACUGUCAGUUCUCCGACUGCACGCUUUGUCAGAAGUAUAACUGUUAUGUUACACUUACAAAUAAAGCCAC